rnacentral:rRNA from 1 species
UGGGGAAUUUUGGACAAUGGGGGCAACCCUGAUCCAGCAAUGCCGCGUGAGUGAAGAAGGCCUUCGGGUUGUAAAGCUCUUUUGUCAGGGAAGAAACGGUAGUAGCGAAUAACUAUUACUAAUGACGGUACCUGAAGAAUAAGCACCGGCUAACUACGUGCCAGCAGCCGCGGUAAUACGUAGGGUGCAAGCGUUAAUCGGAAUUACUGGGCGUAAAGCGUGCGCAGGCGGUUGUGUAAGUCAGAUGUGAAAUCCCCGGGCUCAACCUGGGAAUUGCAUUUGAGACUGCACGGCUAGAGUGUGUCAGAGGGGGGUAGAAUUCCACGUGUAGCAGUGAAAUGCGUAGAUAUGUGGAGGAAUACCGAUGGCGAAGGCAGCCCCCUGGGAUAACACUGACGCUCAUGCACGAAAGCGUGGGGAGCAAACAGGAUUAGAUACCCUCGUAGCCCUGAGCGGGCUGGCAAGGCGCAU